rnacentral:rRNA from 1 species
AGCGCAGGCGGGAAGACAAGUUGGAAGUGAAAUCUAUGGGCUCAACCCAUAAACUGCUUUCAAAACUGUUUUUCUUUGAGUGCAGGAGAGGAAAGCGGAAUUCCCAGUGUAGCGGUGAAAUGCGUAGAUAUUGGGAAGAACACCAGUGGCGAAGGCGGCUUUCUGGACUGUAACUGACGCUGAGGCUCGAAAGCUAGGGUAGCGAACG